rnacentral:lncRNA from 1 species
GCACGUGCUGUGGGGGGGCUGUCACAGAGGCGACACUUCACCGGGCCAUUGGCCUGGUUCCAAGUCCCAGCCGCACGUUUCCUGGCCUUGGAAAGCCCCUUCGCUCCCUGAGUCUCGGUUUCCUCCUCCUGAGUUGGAGACGAUGGAGACCCCCGCACCCUGGGCGUUUUCAGGACUCAGGAGGUCGCGUGUCUGAGCCCCCCGCCCACCGUGGAGGCCACGCCUGCAGCAGCCAUGGUUCUCCGGGGAGCUGUCCCGGACGCUGCUCAGAUCUCCCGGGGCAGUGUGCUGGGGGCCGGAGGGGCCGAGCGCCACCGGACCCACCCCAUGGGCAAGGCAGAACGAGGGUCUCCUGGGAGCCCGACUUCAAACUCUACCCGCACAAUUACUGGUGGGUGGACAGUCCCUUUGUGUAUAGAAAAAGAUGCCCAUCCUCUGGGCGGCCACAGCAUUGUGACCUGGGUGACUGUGAGUGUGUGAGCAGCUGUUUAUUGGAAGCCGUCAAGGUCUCUAAGGACAGAGACAGAUGGCCCUUCGCGAGGGGAGUGCCGGGCCAGGCCUCCUGGCUCAAGCUUCGCGGGAAUGUCUGCCUUCUUUUCUGCUGAGGGGCCCUGACAGCUAUGCUCAAGGAACAGAGGCAACGGACCCCAGGGGCAUGGGCGCAGUCCCGGGACCCCUUCACCAAGAGGAACCCGGGUGUCUUCUCCCUGCGGCUGCCGCAGGUGACUCAAAACACCAUUCACGCUCAUCACGACUUUGAAAUAAUGCCAGCGGUCGGCGCCAUCGCUAGAUCUUGCUGUUGAAUCUCGUUAUUUAACGCAGUCACAAAAAGAAAGCGCAUAAGGGACCAGAUUACGAGUUUGCUCUUUAUUUUAAUGGCAUUUCAACAAA